rnacentral:rRNA from 1 species
CCUACGGGAGGCGGCAGUGGGGAAUUUUGGACAAUGGGCGAAAGCCUGAUCCAGCAAUGCCGCGUGAGUGAAGAAGGCCUUCGGGUUGUAAAGCUCUUUUGUCAGGGAAGAAACGGUGAGGGCUAAUAUCCCUUGCUAAUGACGGUACCUGAAGAAUAAGCACCGGCUAACUACGUGCCAGCAGCCGCGGUAAUACGUAGGGUGCAAGCGUUAAUCGGAAUUACUGGGCGUAAAGCGUGCGCAGGCGGUUUUGUAAGUCUGUCGUGAAAUCCCCGGGCUCAACCUGGGAAUUGCGAUGGAGACUGCAAGGCUAGAAUCUGGCAGAGGGGGGUAGAAUUCCACGUGUAGCAGUGAAAUGCGUAGAGAUGUGGAGGAACACCGAUGGCGAAGGCAGCCCCCUGGGUCAAGAUUGACGCUCAUGCACGAAAGCGUGGGGAGCAAACAGGAUUAGAUACCCUGGUAGUCCACGCCCUAAACGAUGUCUACUAGUUGUCGGGUUUUAAUUAACUUGGUAACGCAGCUAACGCGUGAAGUAGACCGCCUGGGGAGUACGGUCGCAAGUAAUUAAAACUCAAAGGAAUUGACGGCUGNGAGNGCGAGGACGACGACGAGGGAGGAGG